rnacentral:lncRNA from 1 species
GCUUCUCCUCUCUUGCAAAAUCAAAAGUACUCAAACUAACAAUAGGUCUUAGUUCAAUAUUGAGCGUAUAUUUUGUGAGAGCAGUGGCUUAUGUUUUUAUACUAAACAUAGAUUGCCCUAUUACAAUCCUACAAGGAAUACAAGACCAAAUCCUUGUAUAAGUAUGAGUUCUAUUCUCGAGCCAACAGUAGAGUUUCAAUCCAAACCAAAGUUGAAUUAACUCUUAUAAACACAUUAAGACAUCUUUAUACCAAUCUGAAAUAACAAUGAUUAUUACUAAACUGUGAGAAUCACACUCAUACUCUAACAUUCUCCCACUUGAGUAUGAUUCACAACAGUAAAUAAUCAUCUCAAAUUCAAUAUAAAGGUGAUGACAUAAGUCAUUCAUCAACACACUAGUACAUAGACACAACCAGCUUACAUAAACCAAAACAAUGAAUUUAUAAUUGCCUAUGCAACACAAAAUACAGAUUUAACUUACAAAUCACAAUGUCUAGUUCAUGUUCAUAGCAAUGUAUCUAAGCUUAAAAGUAAACCAAGACGUCUACUCCCACUCAUAUAGCCACAAAAUCUUUUGGAUAACAAAAGCUUAACCUCACAUACAACUUACCUAUGCAUUUUAAAGUAUUGAACUUAAGAAUCUUUUCUGUUACAUCGCAGAAUUAACUCAAAAGUCACAACAUACUUAAUUUGCACUUUGUAAUUAUGUGAACCAAUAUAGCAAAACCAAACCAAUUUGCUCCCACUUAACUGGGCUAUACUUAACACAAACAAGUUAAGUAUAAGUUAAUAUCAACUGUAUUAACUAAUGGUCAUUGCAAUACACUGAAUGUCUUAUCAAUGUGAUUUGCGCAAUUGCAACAAAUUUAUGAAAUUCAUGAUCCAUCCAAUUUGUAUUUACACAAAUUUUACAACAAUGUGAUUUUACUUACUAAGAACAACACACACAAAUUGAUUUGCUCCCACUAUAUCAAGUUAAGUUUAGUUCCAGCAAAUAGCACUAAACUUCUCAUUACUUAAACAAAUUAAGUAACAUAAAUAAUUACCAAUUGCUUCAAUAAAACCAUAAUCUGGUUUUCAAGCAUCCAAAUGGAUUAUAUAAUGGCCGGCCUAAUUAACCUUAUGCUUACAUUCUUCUUCUCCCACUUAAGCAUAAGCAGAAAUGUACUGCACAGCCAAUAAAGAAACCGGAGAUAUGAACCAAUUGAUUCCCGAUUCCUUACCAAUUGCAUAAUCUCAGUUUACCAAUUACCAUUAUAUCAAUACAAGUCUAUGUAUAAAAUUAUGCAAUCACAUCAUCGGAAAAAGAUCUCACAAUCCCAAAAUCACUAGUUUCAACAAUGAUCAAUAAUCAAAAUCAGAAUAGCAAGCAACAAUAUUUUUGCAUUCAAUUUGAUCCUAACUACUAGUUCAAUAUCCAUCGAGCAAGAUCGAUCAAAUUUUGAUAAUGUCUGGAUAUAUAUAUCACAACAACAUGUCUUGAUUAAAACGAGAUAAUCAAGACCACUAUUUCUUCUGGAGAACUCGAAGUUCAUCUUCCUCCCUAUUUGUGAUUUCAACCAAAAUAUAAUAGCGGAAGCAUGCAUCAUGAAAUCACAAAUAUACAUAUACAAUAAGCAAUAAAGCAUGCAUCGAUAUAUACAUGAUAAGAUUAGUCGACGACAAUAUCCAAAAAAAAAAAAUAUUCAUGCCUUUAAUUCAUUGUCAACACCAUCAUCAAUUAUAUACAGAUUCGUAAGCAAGUCCUUGGAGAAAAUAACGAUAGCCACAUAUCAUUAAUCUUAUGAAUUUCCAAUAAGAUGACAAAAUAAUUAUUUGCUUUCCGAUUCAUAAUAGAAUAUAUAUAUUGUAAAUGGCUAAAAGUUUAUUGUCACAACUCAUUAUAGGCAGUCAAUAAAACAUCUACCUUUAUAUUCAUCAUCUGUUCAUAUAUAUAUAUAUUUUUUUUUUUUUGUAUGCAUGCAUGCAUCAAUAUGCAGAGAAACUUAUGCAAGUUCCAUUUGAUAUAUAUAAAAACGCAUGCCCAUAAUUACAACGUCUAUGCACGAAUGCUAUCUCCAUAUAUAUACAGAUUUCAUUCAAAUAUGCUAUUAUGUAUAAAUCACAAAGCAAUUUGCAUCCACUUUAUAUAUGCAUUUAUUUUUGUCGCUUUAUAAUACCUCCUGACUUGCAUAUGAUAUGCAGUCAAAUCCAUUCCAACCCAAACUUGAUAUAAAUCAAACCAAUUGAAAAUCAGGAAUUGACACUAAGAUGUGCAUGUGUAGCUCCCCGCAAUUUAAAUGUAUCGAGAUUCAUACAUGAAAAAAUGCAUACACAUUGACUCUUUAAUGAAAAAUAGAAGAGUAUAUCUAGACAUACACUAAUUUAUUUAUGCAGCAAAGGAUGAUUCCAGACAUCUCACAUAAAUCACAAGUUGGCAUCUAUAGGGAUUUCGAGUUUAAUCAUGCCUUCACAAUAUAUAUAAAUAAACAAGCAUACUCGAAAUAGCAAAAGCCCUAAUUCAUUAUGCUCCAACUCAUCGAACUAUAAUCACGCAUAUAGGAGAACAAUUAAUCAUGCAUGUAACAGUGAAGUGAGUUACCUGAAUGCAUCAUUGGACCCGUAUUCGUCAACCCGAUUGCAAUUCCUUGGCUCCAAAUCAACGAAAUAAAUUAUCCAUCAAUGCUUGAGACCCAUCCAUAUGGAUUGCCAUCACUCCAAAUUCCUAUGGACCUCGUACCAUUGCAGAUUAUCGAAGUGCAUUGCCAUUGUUACAGUCGCGAUUUCAAUUGAAACAUCAAAAACCAAAAGAAACAGCAUGCGGGUCAAUAAAAUGCAAAUAAAGUCUGUAAAUAUUUCAUAAGCAUUGUACGACAUCAUGGUUUGAAAACCCAGAACAUCUAUCUAUAUUUAUGACCAUUAUUAAUACAAGAGAGAUCAGAAAAACAGAAAAUACCAUAAGUUGCAGACAUCAUUAACAACGCAACGGAAGCAAUAGUUACCAGAAAUAUAUAAUUAUAUUUUGGUGAGAUUUGAUGUUAACAGAUCACUUACAUGGAUCUUCUAGAGACAAACAAGAUGAAGAUGUCUGCAGACAUGAUCAAAAGAUCGCUGGUUGUUUUCUUCUUUUGAAUCGAUAAUGGUCAUAAAACUUUUAAAAAUAGUUUAAAGAACCCAGUUUUCUUUUGGGCAGCCAAGAGUCAUUUAAUAAAAAAUUAUUCGCACAAAACGACGUCGCAUUCCUUGUUCUUCAGAAAACCAAAUAGACAGACUUUAUAUGUUGCAGAUUUUAGGAAAUGAUUUUUGAUCGAAUUUAGUUGUUAAAUUCAAUGGCUCUGAUACCACAUGUAAGAAUAAGCAUAGCCUUUAUAAUAUACUUAGCCAAGAACACAAGAAUUUAGCAACUAAAUCACAACCAACGCAUCAAAUAUGUUCUACAUAUGCAAAUACUGAAGUAAUAUCUGCAACACGUACCUGCAGACUGUUUGACGAAGUUUUUUCCCAUGUGUGCUGUCAGAAGACAACAGAUGGUGCAGCUCUGGAUGUCAUUGGAAGGCAGUCACAAGAUAGUUGUAUGCGUGUACUGUGGACACAUAGACCUUAUCAUCUUCAUCAGUACAAGUUGUCAAGAUCUUAAAGAAACUCGACAGAUUCUCGUUCUCCAUAAGCCUCUCUGGUGAGAUUCCAUAUUUAUGGUUUUGCAUUACAAGAUAAUCUGUACUCAACUUCUUAAGCAAGUCCGGAGGAAAUCUUUGAAAAACAGUUCCUUCAAUAACGGCGUUCUCGGUAAAUUGUAAAGUUUGUAUGUUGUAGUGUAUGUAACAAAGCCUUCCCGUAAGGCCUGAGAUAUGAAAUUGAUUUGAAAAGCUGCCGUGUUUCUAAGUUUAACAUAGACAUGUUCAUGGAUGAAGAAGCCAUGGACGAAUCUACACACAAGCUUCUCCUCUCUUGCAAAAUCAAAAGUACUCAAACUAACAAUAGGUCUUAGUUCAAUAUUGAGCGUAUAUUUUGUGAGAGCAGUGGCUUAUGUUUUUAUACUAAACAUAGAUUGCCCUAUUACAAUCCUACAAGGAAUACAAGACCAAAUCCUUGUAUAAGUAUGAGUUCUAUUCUCGAGCCAACAGUAGAGUUUCAAUCCAAACCAAAGUUGAAUUAACUCUUAUAAACACAUUAAGACAUCUUUAUACCAAUCUGAAAUAACAAUGAUUAUUACUAAACUGUGAGAAUCACACUCAUACUCUAACACU